UCGAAAAACAAGCAUGGCGAGUUGUCGCUGGCCCAUACCAGGGUCGUGCACGCUCGUCGUUCUUCAUUUCUCCAUCUAUUUGUGCACCUCUUGUGUGGAUCCAUGUUCCUUUGGGGACGAUGGGGGACUGCUUCGCAAUGCCUUUGUUUUUGCAGGCUUUCCUUGUGGUAAGAUCCUCAUUUUCUUCACAUACCACUAGAAAACAAUAGAGAAGGGUUGAAUUAUAAAUAUGAAUAUA
rnacentral:misc_RNA from 1 species